rnacentral:rRNA from 1 species
AGUGAACGCUGGCGGCAGGCCUAACACAUGCAAGUCGAACGGCAGCACCAGAGAGCUUGCUCUUUGGGUGGCGAGUGGCGGGUGGGUGAGGAAUGAAUCGGAUUCUGCCCAUUUGUGGGGGAUAUCCUCGGGCAACCGGGACUAAUACCGCAUACGUCCUACUGCUGAAAGCAGGGGAUCUUCGGACGUCGCGCAGAGGGAUGCGCCGAUGCCGUAUUAGCUAGGUGGAGGGGUAAAGUCCCACCAAGGCGACGAUCCGGAGCUGGUGUGAGGGAAGGAUCAGCGACACGAGGACGGGACCACGCCCCAGGCUCCUACGGUAGGCACCAGUGGGGAAUAUUGGACAGUAGGCGCAAGCAUGAUCCAGCCAUGCCGCGUGUGUGGAAAAGGCCUUCCGGUUGUAAAGCACGUUUGUUGGGAAAGAAAAGCAGCCGGUUAAUACCCAGUUGUCAUGACGGUACCCAAAGAAUAAGCACCGGCUAACUUCGUG